rnacentral:rRNA from 1 species
GACGAACGCUGGCGGCGUGCCUAAUACAUGCAAGUCGAACGCAGUGGGGACGGGUGAGUAACACGUGGGUAACCUCCCAUCAGAGGGGAUAACACUUUGAAACAGGUGCUAAACCGAUACUGAUGGAUGGUCCCGCGGUGCAUUAGCUAGUUGGUGAGGUAACGGCUCACCAGGGCCACGAGGCAUAGCCGAACGUAGAGGGUGGUCGGCCGCACUGGGACUGACACACGGCCCAGACUCCUACGGGAGGCAGCAGUAGGGAAGCUUCGGCAAUGGACGAAAGUCUGACCGAGCAACGCCGCGUGAGUGAAGAAGGUUUUCGGAUCGUAAAACUCUGUUGUUAGAGAGGCGGUAUCUAACCAGAAAGCCACGGCUAACUACGUGCCAGCAGCAGCGGUAAUUC